rnacentral:rRNA from 1 species
CUACGGGGCGCAGCAGUGGGGAAUAUUGGACAAUGGGGGAAACCCUGAUCCAGCAAUGCCGCGUGUGUGAAGAAGGCCUGCGGGUUGUAAAGCACUUUCGGUUGGGAGGACUGCUUCUAGCACUAAUAUUGUUGGAAGUUGACGUUACCUUCAGAAGAAGCACCGGCUAACUCCGUGCCAGCAGCCGCGGUAAUACGGAGGGUGAAGCGUUAAUCGGAAUUACUGGGCGUAAAGCGCGCGGAGGCGGCUAGAUCAGUCGGGUGUGAAAGCCCCGGGCUUAACCUGGGAACUGCAUCCGAUACUGUCUAGCUUGAGUAUAGGAGAGGAGAGUGGAAUUCCACAUGUAGCGGUGAAAUGCGUAGAUAUGUGGAGGAACACCAAUGGCGAAGGCAGCUCUCUGGCCUGAUACUGACGCUGAGGUGCGAAAGCGUGGGGAGCAAACAGGAUUAGAUACCCCCGUAGUC